CAAAUGCAUUGACCAUUUAAUCAACUUGGCUCAUGGAGUACAUGUGGAGAUGACACGCUUUAAGGAACCACUUCUAAGGCCCCGUUCUCCUCUGCUUUUUAAACGGGAUUUUGCAAAAAAAAGUGUUUUUCUCUUAAAAGCAAAGAAGAACGGCCAUCGUUUCAAAAUUUUUUUCACCAUCUGAGAAGUGCUUUUUGGCUGAUGGAGAAGUUAAAUAUUUCAACUUUUCUUCAGCCAAAAGUCCGUUUGGCUGAUAAUUUCCCAUUUUAACUUGCCUUCUCCCCCAAAAAUGUUUCUUUUCUCUGGAUCUUUAGAGGAGCUCUAUACCCAUUUUUUUUCACAUUUUCACUCUCAAAAUUUUGGCUUACUUCUUUCGCCUGAAAAUUCUGGAUUACUGCUUUGCUUUACUCUACUCGGCGGCUGUGGUUUGAGGAUUGAGAAUCGAGAUAAAAGAAAUGGAGAAGGGAAACAGGCAAGUAGUUGUUUCAGCAUUGCAAUUCGCUUGCACCGACGAUGUGCCCACCAAUCUCGCCACUGCCGAAAGAAAUCAUCGAACAAAAGCUUGCUGCACAGCAUGUGGAAAUGCAGAGACUUGGUACAAAAAACCAGAGAACUCCUGCUACCAAUGGGACAUUGAGAUAGGAACUUGCUGCUGCACAGCAUGAGUUGCAGAUCUUGCAUGCUCAGAUAGGAGCUGUAACAUCUGAAAGAGAACAACAAAUGAGGAGCCUUACGGAUAAAAUAGCUAAGAUGGAAGCAGAACUGCAAGCAGCUGAGCCUGUUAAGGUAGAGUUGCAGCAGGCACACUCUGAUGCUCAGAAGUUGGUGCUCUCUUUAUGUUAUAAGCUGGACAUUGUUAUAAUAGAAUGUUCUUUCAAUUUUAAAACUGUAUGAGCAAAAUGAAAUGGACUAGGACAUUGUUAUAUUAGAUUUGAGAACUUGGAACACAACACAAUUAUAUGCUAAAAAUAUAUAAUAUGAUGAUCACCAUAAAAGAAAGGGGUAGUAUAUGUUGCCUCUCUAAUAGGUCUAUUUAUACCCACUAAUUGGUAUCUAUUUUAUUUUUUUGAUUUAGAA